UUGAAUCGGAGAUUAUGCUGGUUGCUUGGGAUGGAGGCAGGAUGAGUUGGGUUGGAGGGAGUUUGUGUAUGUAUACAUGUCCCAGCCUGGCCUGGUUAGCACAGUGUUGGGGAAGCUAAUUUGAACUGUAGCUUGUCAAGCUUCUCAAAAUUUAAAGUCUAGCUACAGACAAGUUGACUGCACUACAAGCUACUAAAAAAAAUGACCGAUCGUUUCACUAGAUAAGACCCUUAUUCCUCGGCUGGGAUCCUGUAGAGCCCUUUGAAGCUGCACUGAAACUGAAACAUUUGGACCUUCAACCUGUUGGUCCCCAUUGAAGUCCACUAUAUGGAGAAAAAUCCUGGAAUGUUUUCCUCAAAAACCUUAAUUUCUUUUCGACUGAAGAAAGAAAGACAUAAACAUCUUGGAUGACAUGGGGGCUCCACGGUCUCACACACCCAAAGCUCACUCUCACCCGAAUACUGAUCCCCCGCACCUGUUCCCCAUCAGCACGCCAAUCUGCCCUGCAUAAAAGCACACACCUCGCGCUCAAUAAUUGUCUGGUCUUAUCUAUGGACAAAGGAUUAUUUACCCAUUCUACUUACCCUAAUAUUCUCCUAGCGAUACUUCAACGUACUCCUUGUGAAUCAUCUCCCACAUGUUCCUGUAAGUCAAGUUUGCCAGUCAUCCACUUACCUGAAUACUCACGCUCUGCCAGCAACGAGGUGUGUUCACCAUUCUUCCUCUGAUCCAUCUUCAAGAUCUCCUCUUCACUCUGGUAACACAACAAGAUCUCUUUUAUCAUACUAUCAACCAUCCAGAACCUGCAAUAUUGCCUUACUCACCUGACUGUCUUUUCUGCAUCUCUGUUAAUAAAAACUGCUGUGGUUUGAAACUAACAUCUGUCUCUGAGUCUGAUGUUCCCUGACAAUUA